GCACCAGCCUCUCUCUGCUCCUAAGGACACCUCUCUUCUACACAUGGGGUUCUCUUUGCCUCCUCUUUCCCAUUAGGACAGCCAACCCACCAACCAUCUCCAACCUCUGUCCAGAAUAAAAAUCAGCUGUGCCUGCACCACCAUGAUCCCCAACCCCAACCUGUCCACACUUGGUCUCAUCCACAGAAGGCCUAGCAUCCAGCCAAGGGGCGCUGAGGUGGCCCAGUCGGUUGAGCGUCAGACUUCGGCUCAGGUCAUGAUCUCACGGUCUGUGAGUUCGAGCCCCUCAUCGGGCUCUGUGCUGACAGCUCGGAGCCUGGAGCCUGGAGCUUCGGAUUCUGUCUCCCUCUCUCUCUGCCCCUCCUCCACUCACGCUGUCUCUCUUCUCAAAAAUAAAUAAGCAUUUUUUUAC